rnacentral:rRNA from 1 species
GACGAACGCUGGCGGCGUGCUUAACACAUGCAAGUCGAACGGAAAGGCCCUGCUUGCAGGGUACUCGAGUGGCGAACGGGUGAGUAACACGUGGGUGAUCUGCCCUGCACUUCGGGAUAAGCCUGGGAAACUGGGUCUAAUACCGGCUAGGAGCCAUUUUUAGUGUGAUGGUUGGAAAGUUUUUUCGGUGUAGGAUGAGCUUGCGGCCUAUCAGCUUGUUGGUGGGGUAAUGGCCUACCAAGGCGGCGACGGGUAGCCGGCCUGAGAGGGUGGACGGCCACAUUGGGACUGAGGGACGGCCCAGACUCCUACGGGAGGCAGCAGGGGGGAAUAUUGCACAAUGGGCGCAAGCCGGAUGCAGCGACGCCGCGUGGGGGAUGACGGCCUUCGGGUUGUAAACUCCUUUCGCUAGGGACGAAGCUUUUUGUGACGGUACCUAGAUAAGAAGCACCGGCUAACUACGUG